CGAAGAAAGUGCGGUUAGGUUUCCUUGGGAAGCAAAGGCACAAUAAACUUUCACCAAUUCAUGUGAAGAAACUGAAGUUAAAAACUACUUGCCCAAUGUCUUACAGCUAAUAAGAAAAUGACAAUAAAAAUCUGAACCUUCUCAAUAGACUGUAGUGAGGCUCAAAUGAAAGAAUGGAUGUGAAAUCCUGCUGCAAACUACACUCACUGUAUGUAAAAAUGCAAGAAAGGAACAAAAUGCUAUUUGGAGCUCAGCAAUCAAGAGAAAAUUAAUUUUUUUGAUUACAGAUGGCAUGUCCUGAAACUCAUGACCAUAAAACAUUAAGGAAAGAACUAACCCUGAAGGUACUAGGCUGGGAAGUCACUGAAAAGUGAGACUCUGAUUUGACAGAGUCUAUAAAUAAGAUUCAAGGAAAGAAGGAGCUGUCUUUUUUCAGGAGAACAAGAAACUUUACAGUGCUGAUUAUGAGGAUAUCCAGGGUAUAGAAGGAUAAAGAUGGAAUGGAAAAAAGAAAAACUUCUAUUUGCCUAAUUCAUCUGUCCAAAACCAAUAAAUGAAAGAAGAAAAAAAAUUUGAGGACCAAUAUCAACAAUAAAAAUGGUGAACUACUUCUACUUUCAAUAGAAGCAUUCUUGAGUACCUUUUCCUUGCAAUGGGUCCUCUUCCUACUUCUUUUACCCUUCCUUCCCACUUAAAUCCAAAGGGGGAAAAUAAAACUAAUAAAAUAUCUUUUACUUAGAAUAAGGAAGAGCAAUGGGAAAAAUCAGUUUUGCUUUGCUCCACCCCAGUCCAUAGCGCCUACCAUAUUUUUA